rnacentral:rRNA from 1 species
CCUACGGGUGGCAGCAGUGAGGAAUAUUGGUCAAUGGACGAGAGUCUGAACCAGCCAAGUAGCGUGAAUGAUGACUGCCCUAUGGGUUGUAAACUUCUUUUAUAUGGGAAUAAAACAGGGUAUGCAUACCCUCUUGUAUGUACCAUAUGAAUAAGGAUCGGCUAACUCCGUGCCAGCAGCCGCGGUAAUACGGAGGAUCCGGGCGUUAUCCGGAUUUAUUGGGGUUAAAGGGAGCGUAGGUGGAUGGUUAAGUCAGUUGUGAAAGUUUGCGGCUGAACCGGGGAAUUGCAGUUGAUACUGGCAGGCUGGAGUACAGUAGUGGUGGGCGGAAUUCGUGGUGUAGCGGUGAAAUGCUUAGAUAUCACGAAGAACUCCGAUGGCGAAGGCGGCUCACUGGACUGCAACUGACACUGAGGCGCGAAAGUGUGGGUAUCAAACAGGAUUAGAUACCCCAGUAGUC